AUUUGCAGCCCCACCCUUCACUGUCUGGAGAGGGGGAAUGGGCUGGAGAUGGAAUUAAUCAUUGAUCAUGCCUGUGCGAUGAAGCUGUCACAUAAAAAUCCCUCCAGUAUAGGGCUGGGAGAGCUUCCAGGCCAGCGAACGCAUCCACGUGCCAAGAUGGUGACACGCUCCAACUCCACGGAGGCAGCAGCUCCUGUGCUCAGGACCCUUCCGGACCUCACCCUGCUUCUCUCUUCAUCUGGCUGUUCGCCUGUGUCCUUUUUCAUAUCUUCUAUUAUAUAACAAACUGAUACCAUGGAUACCAAGAGGCACAAUUUUUCCAAGGCUCAUGCUUCAUCCAGAUGUUCGAUGCCUUUUGGAUUUACAAUUUGGAGGGGCUCUAUUGCAGCCCAGAGGCACUCACGGUUUGCGCUGCAGGACUCCACACUUCCAGGUUGUGGAAAAGGUAGAGAGAUAAAAGUUACAUGCUAGAAUUUUGUAUAAAGGCAACAUAAGGUGUUUUAGGGGGCAGGGGGAGGUUGUUAUCUGCAGUUGUGCCUGGGGCAAGGUUGCUUUAUGCUUUCUUCCCUCCCAGCAUCUGGCCUGCCUCUACUCAAGAAGUAUCACAUUAACUCUUGCUCGCUCCAACUUGGAGCAGCUUCUCAAGUGACAGAAACACCAAAAAUCCCCAGAGGAAGGUGUUAACAUGCAGAUUUCUGGGCCAGAUUUAGAUCUCCUGAAAGAGAAUCUGCAUUUUAAUGAGCUCGGCCCCAAGAGCCCGCAUUUUAAUAGACCAGGACCUAAAUUCGACGGUUUUUUAAAUUGAGAAAUAUAAUCAAAAGAAUAUAUUCAACUGUGUAUGUAAUUCCCCCAGCCCCAACUCCAGCUAAAGCACUCUGAGCUUUGAGAUACUCAGUCCUGUGCCUGCCAUAUAGAUUGUCACUUAUAAAUGCAUCCUAGAACGAGUCUUUCUUGCCUAUUUAAAAAUUGUAUAGAAAUGGAAUUCCAUUUCUAUGCAAUUAUAUAUUGUGCCUUGCUGUUUUUACUCUGCGUUGUGGUUGUGUGGUUCCCUCUGCUGUUGCGUCUAGCUGUAAUGUGUCCCUUUUGAUCACUGUGUAAUAUUCCAUUGUGUGACAAUAACACAACCGAUCUAUCGUUCACAGACAUCCUCUUCCAGCCCAGCUCUGAGGCACGUUUCACGUGUUUUACCAUCAGGCUAAUUCUGUUGAUGAGCAAAUAACAGGUCACAAAAGUCGAGUGAUUGAAGAGCCCAGCGCAGGGGUUCAACGGCUCGAGUCUGAGACCUGCCACCACCACCAGGGGUAUCGCUGUGUGAGCUCAGGCACGUUGAUCUCUGUGCCUAGUUUUUGCACCUGUAAAACGGUAUCUGUGAAAUCACAGUAGCAGGUCCCGUUUCAGUGUUGUGAUGAUUCAGUACAACAAACACCUGUAAAGUAGGUACAGCUUUGCCUGGCCCAUUCAGCUUCAGGGCAGGAAUGGAAACUGGGACUUCUGCCCUACCUCACAGUCUUUGUACAGUUUGAAUUUCCCAUGAGCAUGUGUUGCUUUUGUGGUCCAUUAGUUAAACACAAACCUUCGGCCCACAGCUUCUUACCCUCAGCCUCAGGCCCUGGAGUUCACCUGAUGUAUGACUACAGAGUAAUGAACCAGGCAAGCCCUCACUGCCAAGGCAGAGCUGAGUCUAGUCUUUGAGCAGCCAAGGCUGGCCUGGCCCAGCCACCCAGGUGGACAUUAUCUGACCUGUCAAUGCCCUUUACCAAAAGGGCAGAGCCAGCCACACAGGCGGCAGGGGGUGCCAACACAAAGGAGGACAAAGUUGGCAUAUGACUCCCAUCAGGUGACCCGAGUCCUUGUUCCGCCCCUGCCACUAUUAGAGGGGCUAGCUAUGUCUCUCUGGGCUAUAGUGUCUUCUUCAGUAAAAUGGGGGUAGAGGGGACUCAGACAAGAGCUCCAAGAUCUUUUUCAGUGAAUUCCAUAACACUUGAGGCUUCUGGGUAAAGCAGCUGAGGUGCUAGGGAAAUCAGCUUGGGGGCUGUUGCCUGGUAUAUGUGUCUCCUUGAGAAAUGCCCCAGGAGGGGGCUGGUCUGGCACAGUGGGUCUUGUUGGCCUGGCUGCAGGGGCAGCAGCCAAGGGACCAGUGGCAAAUAAGGGCUAUAGUGAAUCUGCUCUCCCCCGAGACAAGCCCUGUUGGGUAUGAUUGCACACCAUCCUCUCAAGUUCAUGCCAAUUAACAAACAGUCCCAUUUGGAAGGCAAUUCCUUCUAAAACACACCAUGCCUUCCAAGGAGCUGACUACUGCGAGCUUGCUCGUUUCCAGUCGGAGGUCCCUCAGGCCCCAGUUCCAUGCAGGAGGCUUGUCACCCCUGAAGCCCGUCCUUUCUCCUUCCCUCGACCUCGCAACUAGAGCUGGAAGGGGCAGAGGGCAAGGGGCCGAGCAGUCCUUGGUGCCACAAUUCACAGUGGCCCGGGGCCAGCUUAGAUAAUACAUCCCAUCACCCUCACGCCCCCUCACUUCCUCUCAGAUGGAUAUGUGAAGCAUCUGGGAAGUCAACAGCUGCUGCCUUCCACCCCAAAGAGGGUGGUGAGGUAAUCCCCAUACAUAGUCUGACAAGUGCCUUGGGGUGAAGGGGGCUCUGUGUGGAGGAGAGUGAGGAACUGUAUUUUUCAGGAGCACUUCACUGGUGUCCUGGCACCAAAGAGAGAUGAAAAGUUAACCGGGUUUUCUGGCCUCCACAAAAGCAUCUUUCAUCCCAUAAUAGACUCCAGAUUGGAGGGAAGAUUUCACUAUACAGUGGCCAGAGACAGGAAGCUCUGUUGAAGGCCCUGACCGCUCCACCCCCACUCACUUCUGAGGAUUCCCACUGUAACCUAGAGAGCUCGGGAGACAGGCACAUGGGGUCUGACGACAGGAAUGCUAACGUGAAGGAUGGAGAAGCAGGACGAUAUUCGGGCUGUCACCUGGGCUGAUGGCUGUUCUGUGACGCGGAACGACUGAUGACUCUCAGAGGUGAGAGGUAACUCCAUGGGAAAGGUAGCUCCGGUCGGAUCAUCAGCAGUAACGUCUUGGCUGAGCCCUCGAGUGCCAGACACUUGACAACUGUGAGAAAUAAACAGUCACAGAAGGUAGCAGUGGAACACCUUUCCCCCCACCCCUCCACCUCCUGCAGCCCCCACCCUCCUCGGAGAUUUGGUCAGGCUUAUUACCCACAGCAGGUGGCAGAGAAGGACCUGGGAAGAGAGGGCUUCUCGCCAUUUAACUGCACGGAUUCGAAGGAUUCGAAGGAUUCGGCGCUACAUGCUUUUACUUCUAACAAGGUCAAAAUGGCGGGUGUCGACAGCUCCAGCCUCAUCCCUGUUGAAAGGACCCAAAUCCAGGGGGAGUGCUUGGGGAGGAUGCGGAUCUAUGAUGGCCUUUUGUUGUUUUAGACUUUUGAAAUUUUUAUUACAUAUCCUUUCCAAAAAUACUUUUUAUACAAAAAAGUGCUUAUAUGAUACAAUAACCAUUCUCUCCAGAUGAAAGCAGUGUUCUGGUUCUGGUGUAUCCUUCAGGAUCAUCUCCGUGUACCUACACGUGCUCCUUAGCUGUAUCUUAAGUGUUUAGCUUUUGUAAAUGUAACGAUUUGUGCCAGGCCCUUCCACUGAGCAUACGCCCUCGAGUGUGAGUGGGGCAAGCUCUCUCAUGUCAUUCAUUCUGGUGUUUAAAAAAACAUUUUUCCUAUAAGCUCCUAAAUGCAAGGCCAGCACUUUAUCUGGAGCUCAAAUAGGGUACUGGUGACCUGUCCCAGUGCUGAGGGACACUCGCUGUGCUCACUGUUACAAUAUGACACCUUCGGAAGGUGUUUAAUGGCCUCUGAACUAUAUGCCAUUUUGUAUUGAGCUUGACUUUGGACCCAACUCCUAGGAAGAUGUCUCUAUUAGUCAUACACUAUUCAUGUUCUUUUCCAUUUGGUUUAUCUUGGAAGUUGUUCCAAAUCAGUAUCUAUAGAUCUGCCUUAUUCUUUAAGUGCUCACUGCAGGCUAUUCCACAGCAUGACUGUACACGGUGUCUUUGGAAAGAAUUCUAUUUUCAUACCGCAAAGGAAAGAGAAAUGUCACCAUUAAAAAAGAUACAAACUAAGAACGAA